rnacentral:hammerhead_ribozyme from 1 species
AUUCAUCUGACGAGUUCCAAAUAAGACGAAAUGCGCAUUAUCCUGGAU